ACCGGUGAGAAGAAAAGAGAAGAAAUGAAAAGAGAGAAGACAAGAGAAAAAGAGAGAGAGAGAAGAAAAAAGAAGAAAUUUGGAGGUUUUGAGAAAAGAAGAAACUUGGUGCUUGAUGGAGGGGAGGAUGGGAUGAAGCUUUCUUUGGUGUUGUUCAGGCUUGGGAGGAAGUUUCAAGUCUAGCAAGGGAACCCAGUGAGGACUUCGUCGUCUCUCUCAGCCGAUCUCUCAGUUCUCCCUCAUUGACCGCGACGGCGAUGGCCACGAUGAAGAAGAAGGUGAUGGCGAAGGCUACGGCGGUGAUGGGGAUAUUGUGUUCUCCAUUUUGGUUGUUCUACAUCCGAUGGCAGUGGUGUAGUUGGGUUAGGGAGAGGAGUAGCUAGGGUACCGCCCACCUGGACUAAGCUCACUCCUGAUCUACUUCUCUCCGAGAAUGGCCUCAGCUAUGUUCUAGGCUUCGCACCAUGGUCGUGGUCAUGAGGUUAGUGAUUUAAAGAAUUUGAUUAAGCUGUAUGUUGAAUGCCACUCCCGAUUGAUCCCGUACUACUCUUUGAUCAUUUU